CUGGAGCCUAUCCAGAUCACUCAUUAUUUGGCGUACAAAUGUCAUCACUUCUGCGAAGAAAGUGGUGCUGGUUAUAUCCUCAUAUGCUUAGCAUUUCACCGCAUUCUCGGAUCCUACCCUUUUCUUGCAAUAAACGCCCAAUCUGUCGGGCCCUAGCUUUCAAAGUUUGCUCGACCACAUGAUUCUACUCCUGAAGUUGUUGAAAAUCUAUUUCUAAUUGUGCCAAUGCUGUAUAACAAUGUUCUCUUUCAACCUUGAAAUCUUUUGCCUGUUUGAUCAUUUUGUUCUCCCCGGUAAUGACCUUCUUUUUUAAUCCCGCAACCUCAUGGUCGUACUUUUCUUUCAAUUUCUUAAUCAGACGUGCUCAUUCCUCCACGUUUAUAGCUAAUUGCUUUCGAGCCUUAGCUAGCUCCACCUUCGUCUUGUUUAGAUCAAAGCUAUAUUCACCCACUUUCUGCCUCAGGUUAUCUAUGAGUUUUCCAUCUUUGGCACUUCCGGUGGCGUUUUCCGUUGCUAUUUUGAUUUUCUAAAUCUGGGCUUGAAAGGCCACAUUUUUUGGAUAGCCUUUUCUUUUCUCCUUCUUCUGCCGCUGCUUGCAAACUAUUCUCGAAUUGAAGUUCCUGGACUUGUUUUUCCAACUUUCCUAUUAUGGCCUUGUACUCGCUCUCCUUGGCCAACCAAGCCCAUUGCACCUGUGCUCCGUCAGUGAAUGGUUGGACAUGGGGUUUUUUUGCGGUCCUUUCGGGCUCAGGAUGGACUCAGGAUCUUUUACCAUACCAAGAAUGUAACUAAGAUCCAUCUCGCCUCUAGAUAGAUCUCGUACUUGAGUUCUAGGCUAUAAGAAUCUACACUGAUGCCAAAUCCGACGCACUUUUUCCUCUAGAAAGAUAGCUUUUGGCUCUAAUUUAAUGACUUGCCCACUUAAAUCUUCAUCGCGUGGGAUGGGCUAG
rnacentral:lncRNA from 1 species